UACAGAGGGGGCGAGCGUUGUUCGGAAUUACUGGGCGUAAAGGGCGCGUAGGCGGCCUGUUAAGUCGGACGUGAAAUCCCCGGGCUCAACCCGGGAACUGCAUCCGAUACUGGCAGGCUUGAAUUCGGGAGAGGGAUGUGGAAUUCCAGGUGUAGCGGUGAAAUGCGUAGAUAUCUGGAGGAACACCGGUGGCGAAGGCGGCGAUCCUGGACCGACAUUGACGCUGAGGCGCGAAGCCGGGGAGCAAAACGGG
rnacentral:rRNA from 1 species